UUUCUGGUUGGAUCCUGCCAGUAGUCAUAUGCUUGUCUCAACCAGAUUAAGCCAUGGCAUGGUCUAAGUAUAAGCAACUUUGAUACUGUGAAACUGCGAAUGGCUCAUUAAAUCAGUUAUAGUUUAUUUGAUGGUUUUUGCUACAUGGAUAACUGUGGUAAUUCUAGAGCUAAUACAUGCAUUCAAGCCCCGACUUCUGGAAGGGGUGUAUUUAUUAGAUAAAAAUCAACUUUGUUGGUGAAUCAUAAUAACUUCUCGGACCGCAUGGCCUCGUGCUGGCGGUGCUUCAUUCAAAUAUCUGCCCUAUCAACUGUCGAUGGUAGGAUAGAGGCCUACCAUGGUUGCAAGCGGGUAACGGGGAAUAAGGGUUCGAUUCCGGAGAGGGAGCCUGAGAAACGGCUACCACAUCCAAGGAAGGCACGCAGGCGCGCAAAUUACCCCAAUCCCAACCAGCGGGGAGGUAGUGAACAAUAUGUAACAAUAUAGCGGCUCUUAUAGCGUCGUAUAAUUGGAAUGAGU
rnacentral:rRNA from 1 species